rnacentral:rRNA from 1 species
GUAGGGAAUAUUGGGCAAUGGUCGGAAGACUGACCCAGCCAUGCCGCGUGCAGGAAGACGGCCCUCUGGGUUGUAAACUGCUUUUAUCUGGGAAGAAAAAGGCCAUGCGUGGCAAAUUGCCGGUACCAGAUGAAUAAGCACCGGCUAACUCCGUGCCAGCAGCCGCGGUAAUACGGAGGGUGCGAGCGUUGUCCGGAUUUAUUGGGUUUAAAGGGUGCGUAGGCGGCUGAUUAAGUAAGCGGUGAAAGACUUCGGCUUAACCGGAGCAGUGCCGUUGAUACUGGUUGGCUUGAGUGUCGGAGGGGUACAUGGAAUUGAUGGUGUAGCGGUGAAAUGCAUAGAUACCAUCAGGAACACCGAUAGCGAAGGCAUUGUACUGGCCGACAACUGACGCUGAUGCACGAAAGUGUGGGGAUCGAACAGGAUUAGAUACCCGAGUAGUCC